rnacentral:lncRNA from 1 species
CUCCAUAUGUAAAAUAGACAAAUAAUGUUUGACAAUUCAAAAGUUAGCAUACAUAAGUUAAAAAAAAUUGAAAUUAAAAAAACUCCCUAGAACAUAGGUCUUUAUAGACCAACAGGCAACAACAAUAAUAACUAUGCCUCAAUCCCAAACCAAUACUUUUCAAUAAAGUCUUCACUGCUUUCAUCUUUCCAUUGCUUGUUUGCUUCACCAACAUAUUCAACUGGCACAAAAGUAUUCUGAGGGAAGAAAAAAGAAAAAGAAAACAUUUUAAGAUACAUCAAUAAUUAACAAAGGGUAAAGAGUAAGAUACACCCAGUAAGAGUCCAUUUUAAUAAGACAGAAGAAAUAAGCACUAAGAUAGAAGAAGCAAAAAAUACAAAUGUCGACAAUCCAUAAAUACUAGUUUGCAUAAAUUUUGCUUCCAAACAUAACGUAAAACAUUAACAAUAAAAUGAUUUUAUAGCAUCUUAGAGUAAAUAAAAAGAGGUAGUUGAAUUCUGAAUUCUUAUAGAAAUUGUAUAGACAGGGAAAGAACCUGUAACAAAGUGUUCCUCAUUACAAUUAGUUUGAGAUCAAAGCCACCUGAUAGAGUUGCUAAAUCUAAAGGCAACUCUAGUUUCUAAUCAUUAACAGCAGCCAAAAUGCACUCCUGCUUGGGAAUUGCUCAAGUUUUCUCUUUUAGGAAUAUGCGUGACUUACACUUCUAAAAAAUAAAGCAAGGAUCUCAAGUGGCAUUAUUACCGUUAAAAGAGAGUUAUCCACAAAACAACAACCACAUACCUAGUAUAUUACCAUAUGUGGGGUCUAGGGAAAGUAGUGUGUCCGCAAACCUUACCUCUACCUUAUGCAAGUAGACAGACUGUUUCCAAAAGACCCUCGGCUAAGGCAAGCACUGUCGCAACAAUAAAGAAAACUGAACUAUAAAAAUAGUAUAGCUGCAAACUAUCAUAUAUUAAUAAUUGAUUGAUAAACAAUAUACUGUAAAAAAGGAGAAAAGAACACAACCAUUUAUAUUGCAUUUUUAUAUUACCACCUUGUCUUUUCAACAAUUUGUUGCUCAUGUGGGCUUCAACUUAUAUGGAUGCACUACCAAAUACAACUAAAUAUAGUAAAAAAAUCCGAGCAUUAAGACAUAUGAUAUGCUUGAAUCUACAAUGUAAGAGAAUCUUCUACCAGCAGAAACCUUUGCAAGCUCAAUAAAUCUUGAAAAUCAGCUUCAAAUUAAUUAUUUCUUGAAAAAAAAAAGGAUUUUACUUAUUAAGAAAAUUCCCAUCGUAGUAAACAACUAGAGAGAAAAAUACUACUACUAUUUUUCCGUCAAGCAUAAACUCAAACUUAAUUACAACCUUACGAUUACAACAACUAUACAUACACUAAGCAGAAUAAUUUAAAUAAGUUUUAGGCUUAAAUUUAUGAUCAAAAAAGAAGAAAAAAAUAAAAGAAAGAGAGAAGUCAAUACCUUGAGUCAUGCUGAUUAGCAAAUGUUUUCACUCUUCAAAGAAACCAAAUAUUUCGCUACAAACUUAGCAUCAGAAAACUCUUAAGUAUAAGGAUCUCAGUGGUAUUAGAGAAGAAUCCCAGUCAUGUUAAACUUUUUACCUGACAAUACACUUGAUUUCAGGAAGACAUUCAUUGGUGAAGUCUUUGUAGGUUUCUCAAUAGCAUAGUACCAACUGAGGCAAGUUAAAAUUAUUCAUUGAAGUCGCGUAGAGAUAUAUGGACCAAAGCAGUCUUUUAUGCCCUUCCACCUUGAAAUUUGAAGAAGCGACUUCUCUGGAAGAACUGUAGAUUUUUACCAACAAAUCCUAUGUCCAUUAAGUGCUUCAUAAAAACCUAAAACAACUGAAAUUUUUUAGAGAGUUGUCUGCAUGAUCGAAAAGCUUGAAUAAAGUAAUUGUAUUGUAAAUACUAAAUAGAAUCAGGUGAAGCCAUAUUUUAAGAUAGUAAUAUUCUUUUGAUGCAGAGCCUUUUCUGCAACAUCUCCUCGGAUGUGUAAAAAAAUAGUUGUUGGUAGGUUCUAAAUAUUCAUGUAAUCCUCAUUAUAUAUAUUCCUUUUGCUUAUUACAAUAAAAACUACUAUCACAAUCCUAAAUAAGUUGGGGUCAGCUAUAUAAAACUUCACUAACUAUAAUAUACAAAUUACAGACAAAGCAUAAAAGUAGUUUACAACGCUUUUCACCACUCAAAACGAGACAUUCAUAUGUCUCUUCACAGUUUGAAUUAAUUUAUUUCAUGUUUGCAUAAAAGGAGUGUACUUACGUUUAAAUUAAGCUCUUUCAUGAUUGUGUGCUAAAUGCAUCCCCAAUGAUAGUUACAACAACAAGUUUUAUCUAACAUAAGAGAACCACAGAAGGUAACCGAUUUUGAGAGAACUACCCUAUGUGGAGGAGUUAACACAUUUAGAACAAAAGGCGAAUGGAAGAAAGUACAAAAAUUAAAAAAACAUUGUAACCAAAUCUCAGAAGAAGACAUGAGAGAAAAGUAAAAGCUUUAAGGUUAAACUCGUGAAUCAAUAAAAAUAGCUAUAGUGACAUCAAAAUCCAUUGCACCGCCACAAAAUAAAUCAUAAGUAGAAAAGAAAAAAUAAAGUGAAUCAUACAAUAAUGUAUGUACUUUCCUCGCUCUCUUCCUUUAUCAAAGUGAGUGUACAUUCUCGAAUAUCACCGCUCACCGGGGUAGCAUCCGCAUAGACGUAAACAAAAGUUAGUAUAAAAUGUUCAGUUUUAUUGAAAAAAUCAAGAAGAAAAAAGAAGGAAUUAUAGUAUAAGGAAAACCCUAACAAAUCCCAAUUUUUUUUACCUAAACCAAUUCAUUAAGCCAAGCUAAACCAAAUAGAACAUAUAUUCCACUAUUAGGAUUGCAUAAAAUUAUUGACCAAAAAAAUCAGUCGCAAUACAUAUAUCAGCCAAAAUUUUCCAAUCAGCUCAAAAUAAUAAUACACUUAAACAUUGCGAUCUAUAAUUUAAAAAUAAAUUAUAGCAUAUUGUUCAAUCGGGCAGUAACAGCUCGAAGCUUAGAAUAAAUCUUACCAGCAGGAGAGCCCAAUAUAACGCUACAAAGUGAACCCCUAGCGAUCUUAAUACUCGAAAACGAUCUCAAUAUAUGUAUCUUUGUAUCCGCAAUCACAAUACUCGUCUUUGUCGCAUUCUCUAUAGCAAAUCUCAUUUUCCCUCCUUUCCCAAUAGCCCUAAAUAAACUAAUACCCAAUUUAGAUUCUAUGCUUAAAUCAAAAGCAAAAUAAUAAACUCAACAAGAAAUUAAUAAGCCAAAAAAGAAAUGAAUUAAAGAAUAAACCCCCAAAGUCCUCAUGGAGGAGAAACCUAGAUCUGAGCUCUUUCAUGACCUACCUCUUCUUGAUGUUCGGUAACCUCCACAAGACUGAGAGUGUUUUAGCCUACUUUGAUGUGAUUGAAGCUAUAUACAUUUUGAGAUGUGUUCUUCAAAUACUUUCUUCAUCUGUGAUUGAAGCUACAAAGAAGUGUUUGAAGCUAUGCGUUAUUUAGUUCUGAGAGAGUUAAAACUUUAUUUUGAUAUGUUUCG